UCGAGGGGAAACGACAUCGAAAGCUUGCUUUUGAUGGGCGUCGACCGGCGCACGGGUGAGUAACGCGUAUCCAACCUGCCCACCACUUGGGGAUAACCUUGCGAAAGUAAGACUAAUACCCAAUGAUAUCUCUAGAAGACAUCUGAAAGAGAUUAAAGAUUUAUCGGUGAUGGAUGGGGAUGCGUCUGAUUAGCUUGUUGGCGGGGUAACGGCCCACCAAGGCUACGAUCAGUAGGGGUUCUGAGAGGAAGGUCCCCCACAUUGGAACUGAGACACGGUCCAAACUCCUACGGGAGGCAGCAGUGAGGAAUAUUGGUCAAUGGACGAGAGUCUGAACCAGCCAAGUAGCGUGCAGGAUGACGGCCCUAUGGGUUGUAAACUGCUUUUAUAAGGGAAUAAAGUGAGUCUCGUGAGACUUUUUGCAUGUACCUUAUGAAUAAGGACCGGCUAAUUCCGUGCCAGCAGCCGCGGUAAUACGGAAGGUCCGGGCGUUAUCCGGAUUUAUUGGGUUUAAAGGGAGCGUAGGCCGGAGAUUAAGCGUGUUGUGAAAUGUAGAUGCUCAACAUCUGCACUGCAGCGCGAACUGGUUUCCUUGAGUACGCACAAAGUGGGCGGAAUUCGUGGUGUAGCGGUGAAAUGCUUAGAUAUCACGAAGAACUCCGAUUGCGAAGGCAGCUCACUGGAGCGCAACUGACGCUGAAGCUCGAAAGUGCGGGUAUCGAACAGGAUUAGAUACCCUGGUAGUCCGCACGGUAAACGAUGGAUGCCCGCUGUUGGUCUGAAUAGGUCAGCGGCC
rnacentral:rRNA from 1 species